AUUGAACGCUGGCGGCAGGCCUAACACAUGCAAGUCGAACGAGUGGCGGACGGGUGAGUAAUGUCUGGGAAACUGCCCGAUGGAGGGGGAUAACUGCUGGAAACGGUAGCUAAUACCGCAUACCAUCGGAUGUGCCCAGAUGGGAUUAGCUGGUGGGUGGGGUAACGGCUCACCUAGGCGACGAUCCCUAGCUGGUCUGAGAGGAUGACCAGCCACACUGGGACUGAGACACGGGCCAGACUCCUACGGGAGGCAGCAGUGGGGAAUAUUGGACAAUGGGCGCAAGCCUGAUGCAGCCAUGCCGCGUGUAUGAAGAAGGCCUUCGGGUUGUAAAGGACUUUCAGCGAGGAGGCGUUACCUGCAGAAGAAGCACCGGCUAACUACGUGCCAGCAGCCGCGGUAAUUC
rnacentral:rRNA from 1 species